rnacentral:rRNA from 1 species
AUUGAACGCUGGCGGCAUGCUUUACACAUACAAGUCGAACGGUAACAGGUUAAGCUGACGAGUGGCGAACGGGUGAGUAAUGCAUCGGAACGUGCCCGAUCGUGGGGGAUAACGCAGCGAAAGCUGCGCUAAUACCGCAUACGAUCUGAGGAUGAAAGCGGGGGACCGUAAGGCCUCGCGCGAUCGGAGCGGCCGAUGUCAGAUUAGGUAGUUGGUGGGGUAAAGGCUCACCAAGCCGACGAUCUGUAGCUGGUCUGAGAGGACGACCAGCCACACGGGGAUGGGGACACGGCCCAGACUCCUACGGGCGGCAGCAGUGGGGAAUUUUGCACAAUGGGCGAAAGCCUGAUCCAGCAAUGCCGCGUGCAGGAAGAAGGCCUUCGGGUUGUAAACUGCUUUUGUACGGAGCGAAAAGGCUCUCUCUAAUACAGGGGGCUCAUGACGGUACCGUAAGAAUAAGCACCGGCUAACUACGUGCCAGCAGCCGCCGUAACAC